rnacentral:rRNA from 1 species
UCCGCUUGAUCCUGCCGGAGGCGACCGCUUUUGGAGUUCGAUUUAGCCAUGCGAAUCGAGAGCCUUAGGGACUCGGCAUAAUGCAUCAGUUACACGUGGAUAACCUGCCUUAUUGUCUGGAUAGACCUCGGGAGACUGAGAACAAGUCCGGAUACGCCCACUAUGCCUGGAACGGUUUGUGGCAGAAAAUAGGAUGGGUCUGCGGCGUAUCAGGUUGUAGGGGGUGUAAUGGACCUCCUAGCCAUCGACGCGUACGGGUGUUGGGAGACAUAGCCCGGAGAUGGAUUCUGAGACACGAAUCCAGACCCUACGGGGUGCAGCAGGCGCGAAAACUUCACACUGCAGGAAACUGUGAUGAGGGAACUCCAAGUGCUAUCACUAUGUGGUAGCUUUUCUUGACUAUUAAUCGGUCAUGGAAUAAGGG